AUUGAACGCUGGCGGAAUGCUUUACACAUGCAAGUCGAACGGCAGCACGGGGCAACCUGGUGGCGAGUGGCGAACGGGUGAGUAAUACAUCGGAACGUGCCCAAUCGUGGGGGAUAACGUAGCGAAAGUUACGCUAAUACCGCAUACGAUCUACGGAUGAAAGCGGGGGAUCGCAAGACCUCGCGCGAGUGGAGCGGCCGAUGUCAGAUUAGGUAGUUGGUGGGGUAAAGGCUCACCAAGCCAACGAUCUGUAGCUGGUCUGAGAGGACGACCAGCCACACUGGAACUGAGACACGGUCCAGACUCCUACGGGAGGCAGCAGUGGGGAAUUUUGGACAAUGGGCGCAAGCCUGAUCCAGCCAUUCCGCGUGCAGGAUGAAGGCCUUCGGUGUAAACUGCUUUGUUACGGAACGAAACGGACGAGCUCUAAUACAGUUUGCUAAUGACGGUACCGUAAGAAUAAGCACCGGCUAACUACGUGCCA
rnacentral:rRNA from 1 species